GACGAACGCUGGCGGCGCGCCUAACACAUGCAAGUCGAACGGAGCUUAGAGAGCUUGCUUUUUAAGCUUAGUGGCGAACGGGUGAGUAACGCGUGAGUAACCUGCCCUAGAGUGGGGGACAACAGUUGGAAACGACUGCUAAUACCGCAUAAGCCCACGGUACCGCAUGGUACUGAGGGAAAAGGAUUUAUUCGCUUUAGGAUGGACUCGCGUCCAAUUAGCUAGUUGGUGAGGUAACGGCCCACCAAGGCGACGAUUGGUAGCCGGACUGAGAGGUUGAACGGCCACAUUGGGACUGAGACACGGCCCAGACUCCUACGGGAGGCAGCAGUGGGGGAUAUUGCACAAUGGGGGAAACCCUGAUGCAGCGGCGCCACGUGGAGGAAGAAGGUUUUCGGAUUGUAAACUCCUGUCGUUAGGGACGAUAAUGA
rnacentral:rRNA from 1 species